rnacentral:rRNA from 1 species
CUGGCUCAGGAUGAACGCUAGCGACAGGCUUAACACAUGCAAGUCGAGGGGCAGCGGGGGUGAAAGCUUGCUUUCGCCUGCCGGCGACCGGCGCACGGGUGAGUAACACGUAUGCAACCUGCCCACCGCAGGGGGAUAAGCCGGAGAAAUCCGGUCUAAUACCGCGUAACAUCUUCUUGGGACAUCCCUUGAGGAUCAAAGGAAGCGAUUCCGGUCAAGGAUGGGCAUGCGUCGCAUUAGCUAGUUGGCGGGGUAAAGGCCCACCAAGGCGACGAUGCGUAGGGGUUCUGAGAGGAAGGUCCCCCACAUUGGUACUGAGACACGGUCCAGACUCCUACGGGAGGCAGCAGUGAGGAAUAUUGGUCAAUGGUCGGAAGACUGAACCAGCCAAGUAGCGUGAAGGAUGAAGGUUCUAUGGAUUGUAAACUUCUUUUAUACGGGAAUAAAACCUCCCACGUGUGGGAGCUUGUAUGUACCGUAUGAAUAAGCAUCGGCUAACUCCGUGCCAGCAGCCGCGGUAAUACGGAGGAUGCGAGCGUUAUCCGGAUUUAUUGGGUUUAAAGGGAGCGUAGACGGGAUGUUAAGUCAGUUGUGAAAGGCUGCGGCUCAACCGCAGCACUGCAGUUGAUACUGGCGUCCUUGAGUGCGGUUGAGGUAUGUGGAAUUCGUGGUGUAGCGGUGAAAUGCUUAGAUAUCACGAAGAACUCCGAUUGCGAAGGCAGCAUACUAAGCCGCUACUGACGUUGAGGCUCGAAAGUGUGGGUAUCAAACAGGAUUAGAUACCCUGGUAGUCCACACGGUAAACGAUGAAUACUCGCUGUUGGCGAUAUACAGUCAGCGGCCAAGCGAAAGCAUUAAGUAUUCCACCUGGGGAGUACGCCGGCAACGGUGAAACUCAAAGGAAUUGACGGGGGCCCGCACAAGCGGAGGAACAUGUGGUUUAAUUCGAUGAUACGCGAGGGACCUUACCCGGGCUUAAAUUGCACUGGACAGGCUCAGAGAUGGGCUCUUCUUCGGACCAGUGUGAAGGUGCUGCAUGGUUGUCGUCAGCUCGUGCCGUGAGGUGUCGGCUUAAGUGCCAUAACGAGCGCAACCCUUGCCAUUAGUUACUAACAGGUUAUGCUGAGGACUCUAGUGGGACUGCCAUCGUAAGAUGUGAGGAAGGUGGGGAUGACGUCAAAUCAGCACGGCCCUUACGUCCGGGGCUACACACGUGUUACAAUGGGAGGUACAGAAGGCUGCUACCCGGCGACGGGAUGCCAAUCCCCAAAACCUCUCUCAGUUCGGAUUGGAGUCUGCAACCCGACUCCAUGAAGCUGGAUUCGCUAGUAAUCGCGCAUCAGCCACGGCGCGGUGAAUACGUUCCCGGGCCUUGCACACACCGCCCGUA